UUUUGCACCUGAGUCUGACAUCGUAGGAGGACCAUUCUUGCAUCAGAUUGGAUUUUACACCUGAGUCUGACAUCGUAGAAGGACCAUUCUUUAUGCUUGUGUGUUUUCUUUAAUAAAGAUUAUUUUUUAAGUA